rnacentral:ncRNA from 1 species
AAAUAAAUUUUUUUAUUAUUUAAAAAAGUUUAAUUUAAUUUUAUUUUUAUAUAUAAAUUUAGUAUGUAUUUUUAAUUUAUUUUAAAAAAAUUUAAAAAUUAAUUUAAUAGUAAUUAAUAUUAAAAAUUUAAGAAAUUAAGAUUUAGUAAUAUUUAAUGAUUAUUGACAAAUUUUGUACCAGCAGUUGCGGCUACACAAAAAAUAAUUUAAAUCUUAUUAGUAAAUAAUAAAUAUAAAUAUUUUAAAAUUAAAUAUUAAAUUAUUAGGUGAAAUUUUAAUUUAGGUAAAAUUUUAAUUAAUAUUAUGAUUAAUAAAAUUUUAUUAAAAACUAGAAUUAGAUACUCUAUUAUUAAAAUUUAAAUAGAAAUUCUAAAAUAGUAUAUAAUUAUUUAUUGAAACCUAAAUAAUUUGGCGGUAUUUUAGUUCAUUUAGAGGAAUCUGUUUAAUAAUUGAUAGUCCACGAAUAAAUUUACUUAAUUGAUAUAUUUUGUAUAUCGUUGUUAAAAAAAUAUUUUUUAAUAAAAAUAAUAUUUUAAAAUUUUUAAAAUAAAUUAAUUCAGAUCAAGAUGCAGAUUAUAAUUAAGAAUAUAAUGGAUUACAAUAAGAAAUGAUUAUAUGAAUAAUAUUUUUUAAUAAUUAUUUGAAGGUGGAUUUAAAUGUAAUUUUAUUUAAUUUAUUAAAAUGAUUAAAAAUUGAAAUAUGUACAUAUUGCCCGUCACUUUCAUUAAUAAGUUGGAAUAAGUCGUAACAUAGUAGAAGUACUGGAAAGUGUUUCUAGAAAGAU